rnacentral:rRNA from 1 species
AACGAACGCUGGCGGCAGGCCUAACACAUGCAAGUCGAGCGGUCCCGCAAGGGGCAGCGGCAGACGGGUGAGUAACGCGUGGGAAACUACCCCGAGGUACGGAACAACUCGGCGAAAGCUGAGCUGAUACCGUAUGUGACCGAGAGGUGAAAGAUUCAUCGCCUCGGGAUGUGCCCGCCUCGGAUUAGCUAGUUGGUGGGGUAACGGCCCACCAAGGCGACGAUCCGUAGCUGGUCUGAGAGGAUGAUCAGCCACACUGGGACUGAGACACGGCCCAGACUACUACGGGAGGCAGCAGUGGGGAAUAUUGGAAAACGGGGGCAACCCUGAUCCAGCCAUGCCGCGUGAGUGAUGAAGGCCUUAGGGUUGUAAAGCUCUUUCGCCCGCGAAGAUAAUGACGGUAGCGGGAGAAGAAGCCCCGGCUAACUUCGUGCCAGCCGCCGCAGUAACAC